rnacentral:lncRNA from 1 species
GAGGCACUGCAACAUGUUAGAUCAACAAUAUAUAACAGAUAUAUAUAUUCAAUUGAAAUACAUAUCAUGCCUCACAAAAUGCAAUAUGCAAUACCUGGAAUCAUGCAAGUAGGUUACUUUAACGCUACUUAUGUUCUUAAUCAUUCUUUACUCUUUGCCAUUUAAUGCUUACUUUUACCUCUUAGCUAUUCCUUUCUUUAGCUAUUCAUUAUUCUUUAGCCAUUCUUUGUUCUUUAGCUAUUCUUUACUCUUAACAUUCUUGAACCAUGCUAUAUCUUAGCCUUUGGCAUUCUACUCUAAGGUCACUUUACCUUAGUCAACAAAGCCACCCGACUCGGUCUUGAGUCAAUCAAUCGCGGAUAGUCCGCGCACUGUCUAGCUCGAGGUGAAGGAACUCUCACAUGCACCUCAGCUGGCAACAGCUCACCGUACUCCUGUCCUAGCCGUCUGGCGGCGAACGAAUCGCACCUCACCCAACAACGGCCUAGGUUCAAUGACUUAGUCACCCGGCGGCGAAAUCGUCGCACACACGCCACGACAGUGGUUCAGUCAACAGGCGGUAGGAUCCACAAACUGGCUAACCAUCCGGCGGCGAAAUCGUCGCACACACGCCACGACAAUGGUUCUCUAGCCCCUGGGCGGCGAAAUCGUCGCACACACCCGACACCACUUUGGGUGUAGCAGCAAGCAGCGGGAUUCCGGAAUCCAUAUCACAUCAACCAAGGGUUGGUCUUAACCCUAUGGAACUGACCUCUCUAGGUCUAAGCAUUUAUCUCCUAGGUCCAAUCGACUCUAGGUUCAUUGUCCUUUACACAACCUAAGUUAUUACUUUAGGUUUAUUGCUUUCACAUUCUUAACCUAGGUUUAUUACACUAGGAUCAUCAUUCUUUUCCAACCUAGGUUUACUUGACUCUAGGUUAAGCAGCUUUCAUUUCACAACCUAUGUCCUUUACAUUAGGUUCAACAUCCCUCUUAUUUAACCUAUGUUCUUUACAUUAGGUUCAACAUCUCAUUUAUUUAACCUAUGUCCUCGACACUAGGUUUAAUGCCACUCGAUCUAUAGGUUUAUUCAUGUCCACCUAUAUAUGUUCCUUACUUAGCAUUCUUAACAUGCACUUGCAUUUACUAUUCUUAUAUCAUGCUUAUCACUUAUACUUUAGCAUAGCAUCAUUCACUUUAAUCAUUCUAGGGUUAUCAACCUAGUUUCAUGCACAUUUAUCUCACAAUGUCAACAUGCAUUCUAUAUCUCAUUUUAACUUAUAUCAUCAAUAUGCAUUUCAUUCUAUGCAUUAUGCUUACAUGCAUUCACAUAAUUAUCUAGCUUUAUUCAACAUGCUCAUAAUGCAUUCUAUUUAGCAAUUACAUCACACUAUCAUCAUGCAUUAUUUAGCUACAUGCAUCAUUUACAUUUAUAUGCAUCAACUUUAGCAUCUACAUCAUAUUAUGCAUUUCUACUUAGCAUCAACUAUGCCGAUCAUCAACAUGCAUCAACAUGAAAGUCUAAUAAUUAGACAUAAAGGCGACCUAGUCGCUUCGGUAAACCAACCCACCUUAACACGCGCUCCGAUUGCUUGUAGUCACUUGCAAUCGGCCUCCCGCGGCAACCGUUGCCCGGUUUGGCCCGAACUCUUGCGCGACUUAGCAAACGACCUCCGAACCGCGAUCCGUCUUUUCCGGAGUUUAUUCCUUGACUCCAAGGUGCUCCAGUUCCGAUCUCAUGAUUUUUAGACCUUUAUUCCGCGUGCUGCGGCUAUCUGUACCAAAACCGACCGUUUCGUCAAUAACUUCGCGUACGCUCGUCGGAUUGCCGAACCGAGCGCACCAACGCGUUCGUUAGGCCCCCAAUUAGGUUUCUAUAAGGCCAAUUUGCCUUAAAAACACCCGGAGGCAAAAGCCCCAAUUUCGGUGCCCUAACAAUGCCAUAAUCAAAUUUCUUGGGAUUGAUCUCAUAGCUAAGCAUAAUUAAGC